UGCGAAGGGGGCUAGCGUUGCUCGGAAUUACUGGGCGUAAAGGGAGCGUAGGCGGGUCGUCAAGUUGGGGGUGAAAGCCCAGGGCUCAACCUUGGAAUUGCCUUCAAAACUGACGAUCUAGAGUAUGGAAGAGGUAAGUGGAACUCCGAGUGUAGAGGUGAAAUUCGUAGAUAUUCGGAAGAACACCAGUGGCGAAGGCGACUUACUGGUCCAUGACUGACGCUGAGGCUCGAAAGCGUGGGGAGCAAACAGG
rnacentral:rRNA from 1 species